rnacentral:rRNA from 1 species
GUUGCCAGCAGUUCGGCUGGGCACUCUAAAGGGACUGCCGGUGUUAACCGGAGGAAGGUGGGGAUGACGUCAAGUCAUCAUGGCCCUUACGGCCUGGGCUACACACGUGCUACAAUGGUCGGUACAAAGGGUUGCCAAGCCGCGAGGUGGAGCUAAUCCCAUAAAACCGAUCGUAGUCCGGAUCGCAGUCUGCAACUCGACUGCGUGAAGUCGGAAUCGCUAGUAAUCGUGAAUCAGAAUGUCACGGUGAAUACGUUCCCGGGCCUU